GAUGAACGCUGGCGGCGUGCCUAAUACAUGCAAGUCGAGCGAACAGACGAGGAGCUUGCUCCUCUGACGUUAGCGGCGGACGGGUGAGUAACACGUGGAUAACCUACCUAUAAGACUGGGAUAACUUCGGGAAACCGGAGCUAAUACCGGAUAAUAUAUUGAACCGCAUGGUUCAAUAGUGAAAGACGGUUUUGCUGUCACUUAUAGAUGGAUCCGCGCCGCAUUAGCUAGUUGGUAAGGUAACGGCUUACCAAGGCAACGAUGCGUAGCCGACCUGAGAGGGGGAUCGGCACACCGGGACCGAGACAAGGGUCCGAACCCCAAGGGGAGGCAGCGGUGGGGAAUCUGCCGCAAGGGGCGAAAGCCUGACGGAGCAACGCCGGGUGGGUGAUGAAGGUCUUCGGAUCGUAAACCCCUGUUAUUGGGGAAGAAAAAAUGUGAAAGGAACUAUGCAGGUUUUGACGGUACCAAAACAGAAAGCCACGGCUAACUACGU
rnacentral:rRNA from 1 species